UACGAAGGGGGCUAGCGUUGCUCGGAAUCACUGGGCGUAAAGCGCACGUAGGCGGCUUCUUAAGUCCGGGGUGAAAUCCUGGAGCUCAACUCCAGAACUGCCUUUGAUACUGGGAGGCUCGAGUCCGGGAGAGGUGAGUGGAACUGCGAGUGUAGAGGUGAAAUUCGUAGAUAUUCGCAAGAACACCAGUGGCGAAGGCGGCUCACUGGCCCGGUACUGACGCUGAGGUGCGAAAGCGUGGGGAGCAAACAGG
rnacentral:rRNA from 1 species